GAAUAUCUUUGGGGGGACAGAAAAAUCUCAAAAAAAUCAGGGGUGUUAUGGCUACGUGAGCUGUGGCUGUGAGGAUGUCGGCAUGUAAACGAGGCUCCAUUCAAAUCUAUAAGGGAAAAUGUCAUCCGAGAUCAUGCUCGCUGUUGAGCGUAAGGAUUCGCUCGCGAGAACACAAAAAUCAAACCAAAGACACAGGCGGAGAAGAUUGCGACUCACAGACUGGUACCAUCAUCAUCUGUUAUGGAACGUCAAUCUGCUGAAUUUUAAUCUUUGAGACUUCUGACCAGGGGCAGAACUACCGUAUAUCGCAGCCAAAAUCAGAUCACCAAUUUUCAACAAGUUACAGACAACUCUCCCUUGUGCAUUCAACACUCCCAUUAUAUAAUCAUUGAUGACAUCAUGUGGGUGGCACUACGGGAGCUGACCUUCCCAUUGGUUAUCUGGGAAGUCUAAAUCGGAUUGGCCCUUGGAAAUUUCAUUUUUAACAGCCAGAAAGAACCUUCUGGCUGUAGUUCUCGCAACAUAACACCAGGUGGCAGCAUACAGUACAACAUAGCAAUACAAUACAGCAUUUCUGACAUUUUUAAGCAAGUUAAUUUUUUUUUUAUAAAAUGGUUAUUUAAUCAGAUCACACUCUCUGCAUUAAUCAUAUAUAACCCCAAUUACAGAUGGUUAAUAUUAGGUUAUUUUUUUCUGAUUAUUCUGAUACCAAAUAUGUUAUAUUAUUAACAUUU